rnacentral:rRNA from 1 species
UGCAGUCGAACGCUUUUUCUUUCACCGGAGCUUGCUCCACCGAAAGAAAAAGAGUGGCGAACGGGUGAGUAACACGUGGGUAACCUGCCCAUCAGAAGGGGAUAACACUUGGAAACAGGUGCUAAUACCGUAUAACACUAUUUUCCGCAUGGAAGAAAGUUGAAAGGCGCUUUUGCGUCACUGAUGGAUGGACCCGCGGUGCAUUAGCUAGUUGGUGAGGUAACGGCUCACCAAGGCAACGAUGCAUAGCCGACCUGAGAGGGUGAUCGGCCACACUGGGACUGAGACACGGCCCAGACUCCUACGGGAGGCAGCAGUAGGGAAUCUUCGGCAAUGGACGAAAGUCUGACCGAGCAACGCCGCGUGAGUGAAGAAGGUUUUCGGAUCGUAAAACUCUGUUGUUAGAGAAGAACAAGGAUGAGAGUAAAACGUUCAUCCCUUGACGGUAUCUAACCAGAAAGCCACGGCUAACUACGUGCCAGCAGCCGCGGUAAUACGUAGGUGGCAAGCGUUGUCCGGAUUUAUUGGGCGUAAAGCGAGCGCAGGCGGUUUCUUAAGUCUGAUGUGAAAGCCCCCGGCUCAACCGGGGAGGGUCAUUGGAAACUGGGAGACUUGAGUGCAGAAGAGGAGAGUGGAAUUCCAUGUGUAGCGGUGAAAUGCGUAGAUAUAUGGAGGAACACCAGUGGCGAAGGCGGCUCUCUGGUCUGUAACUGACGCUGAGGCUCGAAAGCGUGGGGAGCGAACAGGAUUAGAUACCCUGGUAGUCCACGCCGUAAACGAUGAGUGCUAAGUGUUGGAGGGUUUCCGCCCUUCAGUGCUGCAGCAAACGCAUUAAGCACUCCGCCUGGGGAGUACGACCGCAAGGUUGAAACUCAAAGGAAUUGACGGGGGCCCGCACAAGCGGUGGAGCAUGUGGUUUAAUUCGAAGCAACGCGAAGAACCUUACCAGGUCUUGACAUCCUUUGACCACUCUAGAGAUAGAGCUUCCCCUUCGGGGGCAAAGUGACAGGUGGUGCAUGGUUGUCGUCAGCUCGUGUCGUGAGAUGUU